UAGAGAUUUUUCUCUCUUUUAUCUUGCCAAUUAAAAAAACAUUUUAACUUGUAGGACCUCAAAUCAAGAGCACCUCAUUGUUUCAUACCUAAUUUCAUUUCAAACACUUCCCCAUACCCUUAUUGAAGUGCCACUGUGUGGUAGACAAUCUAGUAAUAUGCCUUUUCUGUAUCAUUAAAUACUCUGAUGAAUAUUUCUCUAAAAUAUAGGCAUUUACUGUUUAAUUUCUUAAGAAUGAAAACAUGACAUGGAAUCUUCAGCUAAGUGUAAGAGGCUUGAAGGCUAUCAGACAUGGAAAACAUGAUGUUCUGAAGAAAGCCUAGAAGACAAAAAAGAUAUAAUAAUAUUUGUGGGAUUUUGAAUGGAUCUCAUCUACUGAUGAUGGCAAUAUAAAGUGGAGAAGGAAAUGGCAACCCACUCCAGUGUUCUUGCCUGGAGAAUCCCAGGGACGGGGGAGCCUGGUGGGCUGCUGUUUCUGGGAUCGCACAGAGUUGGACACGACUGAAGUGACAGCAGCAGCU
ensembl:lncRNA